rnacentral:rRNA from 1 species
GAAGUGUUCGGAUUGCGGCGACGUGGGCGGUUCGCUGCCCGCGACGUUGUGAGAAGUCCACUGAACCUUAUCAUUUAGAGGAAGGAGAAGUCGUAACAAGGUUUCCGUAGGUGAACCUGCGGAAGGAUCAUU